UACGUAGGGGGCAAGCGUUGUCCGGAAUUAUUGGGCGUAAAGAGCGUGUAGGCGGUCCGGUAAGUCAGCUGUGAAAGUCAAGGGCUCAACCCUUGAAUGCCGGUUGAUACUGUCGGGCUAGAGUCCGGAAGAGGCGAGUGGAAUUCCCGGUGUAGCGGUGAAAUGCGCAGAUAUCAGGAGGAACACCAAUUGCGAAGGCAGCUCGCUGGGACGUUACUGACGCUGAGACGCGAAAGCGUGGGGAGCAAACAGG
rnacentral:rRNA from 1 species